UUUAGGUGGUGCUCAGUAAAUACAAAGAAAGAACUAUGCUACAUUCGAAGACAUAUUCUCCAAUAAUAACAUGGCAGAGUAAUAGAAAGGUGCAAAAUCUUCAUGUGCACUUGGUAGAGCAAAAUCCCUCCAACUGGAUCGGAGCAUGGGACAAUGCAAUCAUGCAAAUACCAGAAGUGGGUUCUAUUCAAUAGAUGGCACGUGGAGACUCAGUUAACAGACAAUAUGACAGAAAAUCCAAAGAGUGGCUUCAGCAAGAGAAAAGUUCAAUAAUGUGCUGAAGGUCUCUCUCAAAACUGGGCAGUGGCAGAGCCGGGCUGUGGAUCUGGAGGGCCCGGCUCCAGAGCCUGUGAGACCAACCACGGCGACAGAGCCCCCUGGAUGUCCUCCGCCUGCCUUCUCAUCCCGUGAAGAUCUUAAUCAAAGCUUUGUAAAUUUAGUCGGGAUCAGAACAUUUUGAAGGCUCCAAACCCCUACUGGCCUCCCCAUCCUUACCUUCUUAAC